rnacentral:rRNA from 1 species
AAUCAACGCUGGCGGCGUGCCUAACACAUGCAAGUCGAACGAGAAAGUGGAGCAAUCCAUGAGUAAAGUGGCGACCGGGUGAGUAACACGUGACUAACCUACCUCCGAGUGGGGAAUAACUCCGGGAAACCGGGGCUAAUACCGCAUAACAUCGCGAGAUCAAAGCAGCAAUGCGCUUGGAGAGGGGGUCGCGGCUGAUUAGCUAGUUGGCGGGGUAAUGGCCCACCAAGGCGAAGAUCGGUAUCCGGCCUGAGAGGGCGCACGGACACACUGGAACUGAAACACGGUCCGGACUCCUACGGGAGGCAGCAGUGGGGAAUUUUGCGCAAUGGGGGAAACCCUGACGCAGCAACGCCGCGUGGAGGAUGAAGCCCUUUGGGGUGUAAACUCCUUUUCGACCAAGACGAUAAUGACGGUACUGGUGGAAGAAGCACCGGCUAACUCUGUGCCAGCCG